UUAGAGUUUGAUUCUGGCUCAGGACGAACGCUGGCGGCGUGCCUAACACAUGCAAGUCGAGCGAGAAAGUUUCCUUCGGGAGAUGAGUACAGCGGCGGACGGGUGAGUAACACGUAUGCAACCUGCCUUCAACAAGGGGAUAACUCGUUGAAAGACGGACUAAUACCCUAUAACACAGGGCUCCCGCAUGGGAAUAUUUGUUAAAGAUUUAUCGGUUGAAGAUGGGCAUGCGUUCCAUUAGUUAGUUGGGGGGGUAACGGCCCACCAAGGCAACGAUGGAUAGGGGAACUGAGAGGUUUAUCCCCCACACUGGUACUGAGACACGGACCAGACUCCUACGGGAGGCAGCAGUGAGGAAUAUUGGUCAAUGGACGCAAGUCUGAACCAGCCACGUCGCGUGAAGGAAGACGGCCCUACGGGUUGUAAACUUCUUUUGUAAGGGAAUAAAGUGAGUCACGUGUGGCUUUUUGCAUGUACCUUACGAAUAAGGAUCGGCUAACUCCGUGCCAGCAGCCGCGGUAAUACGGAGGAUCCUAGUGUUAUCCGGAUUUAUUGGGUUUAAAGGGAGCGUAGGCGGGAGGUCAAGUCAGCUGUGAAAUGUAUCUGCUUAACGGGUACACUGCAGUUGAAACUGGUUUUCUUGAGUGCGUAAGAGGCAGGCGGAAUUCGUUGUGUAGCGGUGAAAUGCUUAGAUAUGACGAGGAACUCCUAUUGCGAAGGCAGCUUGCUGGGUCGUUACUGACGCUGAUGCUCGAAGGUGCGGGGAUCAAACAGGAUUAGAUACCCUGGUAGUCCGCACAGUAAACUAUGGAUACUCUCUGCCGGCGAUACAUUGUCGGUGGCCAAGCGAAAGCGUUAAGUAUCCCACCUGGGGAGUACGUUCGCAAGAAUGAAACUCAAAGGAAUUGACGGGGGCCCGCACAAGCAGUGGAGUAUGUGGUUUAAUUUGAAGCAACGCGAAAAACCUUACCAAGACUUGACAUCGCAUGAUCGCCAUAGAAAUAUGGUUUCUCUUCUGAGCAUGCAGACAGAUGGUGCAUGGUUGUCGUCAGCUCGUGUCGUGAGAUGCUGGGUUAAGUCCCGCAACGAGCGCAACCCUUAUUGUUAGUUGCUACCAUUUAGUUGAGCACUCUAGCGAGACUGCCCGGGUUAACCGGGAGGAAGGUGGGGAGGACGUCAAAUCAUCAUGCCCCCUAUGUCUAGGGCUACACACGUGCUACAAUGGCUGGUACAGAGAGAUGCGAAACCGCGAGGUGGAGCCAAACUUCAAAACCAGUCUCAGUUCGGAUUGUAGGCUGAAACUCGCCUACAUGAAGCUGGAGUUGCUAGUAAUCGCGAAUCAGCAUGUCGC
rnacentral:rRNA from 1 species